rnacentral:rRNA from 1 species
UACAGAGGUCCCAAGCGUUGUUCGGAUUCAUUGGGCGUGAAGGGUGUGUAGGUGGCGCCGUAAGUCGGGUGUGAAAUCUCGGGGCUUAACUCCGAAACUGCAUUCGAUACUGGCGUGCUUGAGGACUGGAGAGGAGACUGGAAUUCAUGGUGUAGCAGUGAAAUGCGUAGAGAUCAUGAGGAAGACCAGUGGCGAAGGCGGGGUCUCUGGACAGUUCCUGACACUGAGACACGAAGGCCAGGGGAGCAAAACGGGG